rnacentral:lncRNA from 1 species
CCAGUAAAUAGAAAACUAGAACAGGUAAGGAUAGUCAAUUGUCUUUGAAAAAGUUUGUGUUUAUAAUCCGCUGAAUCAUAAAAUCAAAUGUUCAGGUAAACUAGUGCACCUUGCAUAAUAAUCUAACGUCCGGUUUUAGAUGUAUUGUGUAUUAUGACUUUUUAAGUCUUGGCGGUUUCAUAUUUCACAAUUUAAUAUUUUAAUAAAAGGAAAGUUGUGAGAGAACUUAAGUACAAAUAAAGAUACAGGAUUUAUUUGCAUACAAUUUAAUGUGUUUCGUAGUUAAAUAUCCUCUUAAAAUACUGCUUAUCCCAAAUUCACUGUAACUGGUCUACUUUUGUGCGUGCUUAUGCAUGUAGUAAGGAUUGUGCACAUUUUUGGAACAACAAAUAUUCAUUUUUAUUACUUAUCAGGGAAUAAAUAUUUAUUUUGCUGAAUAAUUCAUUUCUGUUUUUAUUCAAAGGUUUCGCUUCGUAUCAUAACUGAUUCAAAAUGUAUUUGCUACAAGUGGCAGUCUGUUUCGUUGUUAUCGGAAGCGUUAGCCUAGUUAAUACUGCAACAGUUAGAUGGUUUAACAAGAAUAGACAUGUAUUUGAAAAUAUGAUAUACAGCGAGAGGCAAAUAAUGAAACUCAAGUAUAGUACUGAUAAGAUGUAUAGCUAUAACUAUUAUUAUCCACUUGGAAAAAUAACGAAAUCCAAAACUUUCUGGACAAAGAUAUCAAAAGCACCGUCGUGCUCCGUGGAAUUGCCAUGGUGGUUAAAUAACACACGACAUAAACGAGCUCAGUGUUCAACUUGCUGUCCAAC